rnacentral:lncRNA from 1 species
GGACUAUCAUUUCCAAGCUUGAUACCAGUUCCCCAUCCUGCAACGCCAACAAUAUAGCCAGAAGCUUGGCAAGCAACAUGGAGAUAAAACCAUGCUGGAUUUGCAGUCUUGAACACCUUAAGGUACCUAGCUAUCAUGGCUCCCAUUGGGAUGAGAACUCCCCAACUCACUGCGUUUAGUACUCCAUGAGUCUGCAAAAUCAAUGCAAUCACAUUUAAAACCCAAUCUAGGAAUAGAUAUGUAGCCAAUACGGUUAUCAAGAUUGAGCUUGCUUAAUAGAAAGAUGCCGAUCUACUUGCUUCUCUGUGUGUGUGUGUAUACAUCAAAACUACUAGUCAAGAUAUUAGAAUAUUAAAAUGAGAUAAGAAAAACCGUAUUUGUCUCAAGCCAGCUGCCUGCAUGAAGUUUUCAAACCUAAUUGAAAUUUCAAAAUUAUGCAGCACAUGCCAACCCUAUAAGUUGAGAUGAAGAUGAUAUUGAUGGUGAUGAACAUAUGUAAAUGAAUAUGUAUAAGAAUUAAGGGCUCUGUACAUGUAACAAGUGAAUUGAUCAAUUGAAAUAUGUUUGAAUCAAGCACUUACAUUCCUCCUCCUUCUCCUGGAGUCGGAGCUUCCACCACCUGCUGUGGUCUGUCCGGUUCUAAAAUCAAUGGUACCAACUGAUCUUGCAUUAUCACCGCUCAGGGCAUGGAUGCUAGGAGUAUCACCGUUCAUUGGACCUUCUUGCCAAACUUGGUUAGUUGACAACAAAUUGUUAGUAAGCUGCAAAGUUGCAAAAAUAGUCCACUGAUUCCCCUCAAGAGUGGCU